rnacentral:lncRNA from 1 species
GUGGAAUAACCACCUUUUUUUACUAAUAAAUAUAAUUUUUUGCCAUUCAAUAAGCGGUUUAAAAAAAUAACAUUUGUUCGAUUGUUACGAUUUGUUUAAGUCAUUUAUUCCGUCGUUUUAAAUCGUCUUUUCUUCCGUUGUGGUAGAUUUUGCGUUUUCUUGAGACGCGAUUUCCUCAAAUAUUCGUAAGGUACAAAGCCGCUCUCUUGCUUGGCGCGCUACUGCCAGAGCAAUAUAUAUAUCAGGCAUAAUGGAUAUUAAUUAGAGUGUAUUUUAAUAGAGGAACAAUUAAGAAAGUGGGUCGCACGACCAGUGUAAGAAGGGGCAAGGCAAGAGUGGCAGCGACCGCGAUUUACGUCGUGGGAGGGGACAGGAAGAGAGAGAGAGAGAGAGAGAUCGCACGCAAGAGUUUUACACUGUAGGUUCCAUUAUCUGUCUUCAGCGGCAUAAUAGAAGCCCCUCUAAUUAGAAUGUGCCGCGCGAUGCUUUUGUCCUUGGGUAAAAAAAAAAGACGAAGGGGCGAGAGGAAAAGACGCAACCGGAAGGAACGAGAGAAGAAGAACACGCUCCUCUCGUCGCUCGACCGGCCGAUUUAUCUCUGUUCCGUCUUUCUCCGGGCUUCCUUUUUUUUCUCAAAUCAUAAAGUUCCCUCGACUUUCUCGCGGCGAUUCUUCUUCAGCGAGUGCCUGAAAAACCUUUCGCUAUCCACCAUGGUGAAUCCCGCGAGACGAACUAUUUUGACGUCUGUAUAAGUUUUUGGCUUGCAACGCGCGACUACACCAUUCUCACCCUCUAUAAUAAGAUACACGGAUGUAAUAUAACUCUCUUCUAUAAGAAGGAGUCUUCUAUAAGAGGACAUAAAUCUGAAAGUUCCCGCGGUCCAGAAGCCACUUUCGUUCCACCCUACUAAUUAUGACGUGAGAUUUAUACCGCGGCCAUUAAGACUUAUCCGUACAAAUAAGUAUGACUUGCCGGGAAUAAAUUACUCGAAUAAUUUAUCUCGUUCGGCUUAUUACGUGCGAAACAAGUUGCGAUGACUACAGAAUAUCGUGCCACAAAGAACGAAUCUUACAAAUUAUCCGCGGAUUAUACAUGAGCUUCUUUCCGAUUCGCAGUUCACACGAUAGAAGUACAAAGAAAGAUGGCAGAUGGAGUAUUGAGAAACAAAUUAUUCUUUUACAGGAAAGGGAUUUUUUUUAAUUAUCUCAGAACUUUUAAUUGCGAUGAAUUUUUGAACUCUCUUUGAAUUGAUAUGGAUAUAGACAAAGGAUAAAUAGAUAAGAACAAUUACAGCAAUUUCUUUUGCUAAACCAUUUUUUCCGUGUAUUUUUUAUGAAGAUUUGAAGAGUUAUUAAGGAUUUUACAAAAAGAAUAGUCAGAGUUUAUGUACUUAGAAAAUAGCGUGAUACACUGCCAUAUUCUGUCAGCCCGAUCGAUACCAAUAUUACUAUCUUUAGCAGCGUGGUUACCGUCUUCAAGUUAAACAUCUCAGGCGGGAAGUUUCCGCGCUUCGGCAGAUAAAAUCCUUUAAGAGACGUAGAAAAAGUCUUCGACGUAAACGAAGAAGCGUAUAGCGGGAGAAAGCGAGAAGCUAUGAGAUGACUUCACUUGAAAGAAGAGAGUGGCGAGCGAGCGAAAACAUUUGAAUAGAAGCGUCCUGGAUACUCGUUUCCUCGUACUUUCCGGUAUCAACGAAGUGAGUGGCUCGAGCCCCCGGUCGUCUGGAGGGAAAUUAAGAAGAGCGAAGGGGAGGAUUGAAACUUUAAUUGCGUGUACUUUGGACCUAGCCGGUCGAUCCCUUCGUAUCGGCGAUCGAGCGUUUACGAUUGCGAUCGAAGCCGGCCAGGAGAGCCUUUAAUCGAUAAGAUCUGACACCAAAGAAGCACGCGGAGAUAGCUGAAAGAGACUGUAGGUAAUCGAAGCGUUCGAUCGGAUUCAAUGAAGACGGGCAGGAACGGCAAGGACCGGUGGUGGUGUCCGGACGGGUUUGGAGCGGAAUAGAAAGAAUGGAGCCAGAAUUAUGCAGAUACCGGAUAUCCGAUGUAGGUAGUCGGGUAUUCUUCUCCGGGCCGGUCUUUUAGCCAAUAGACAUCUGGGAUUUCCUGAAUUGAAUGUAAAUUACCUUUUGCUCCGUUCGCGAAACGGAUCUAUCGUUAAGCUCCUGCAAAUAAGGGGGGCACCCGCCGUCUUCUAUCGCUUUCUACUCCCGCUCUCCAUAGUCUUCCCCCUUUUUUUUUCGCAGCAGUAAGAACGCGAAUUGCUCGUCGGCGAAGUGAGGAAGGCAGUGGCUGCGUCGACAAAGAGAAAGAGACGGCGGGAAAGACCUACUUGGCGAGCAGAAAAACGGAGGAAAAUCCUCGACCUCUGCGCCAGCAGUUUCCUUCGUCACGUCGAACGUGCCGACGACCUACCGGCGGGUAGAUGGGCGCGCGGCGGGUGGCGUACAUUAAUUUUCCUACGUUGCGGCAGCAGUGGAAUCGAAUUUGCGCGGCAUUGUCCGCUAAUCGGAUUUACUUAAUGCACGAAACGACGCGUGAUUAAACGGCCGCGCGUGAUACCCGCGGAGCCGCGGCGUAAUGACCCGAUCGUACCUAAUUGCAAGCGCAACAAGAUACGAAAAUAUUUUGGUACACUUGUGCGCCGUGGAGAUUCAAGAUUUAAAAUGCAAAUGGAAAUAUGAAAUUUCCGUUGGAUGGUAAAAUAUUUUACGGUAUGUUGACGUUGUGCGUGUGAUUUCAUAUACAUUUUCAAGUUUACCAGUGCUCCGAUAAAUUUUUCGGUCUUCAAACACAAUUUUAAAUUAAAUAUUAAUAUCACAAUGUUAAAUCGAGAAUAAAUUUAAUAAUAACGAUACUAACAAGCGUCCGGUGUGAUGCCAAUAAAAAAAUUCCUUUACUAAAAAAAACUGUCGGGAAUUUUGGUACUGUAAAGAAAUUGUAACGAAAGUUGAUUUCUCUUGAUCUCUUUUACAUUCCUUUGUUCAUUUUAAUUUUACUUUUACUUUUUACCAAAUUUUGCCUGGAGCUCUUUCUUGAGAGAAAUCUUAAUUAAAGAUGGCGAAAAUCCUUGAAAAUGAUAAAGUUCCUGUUGAAUUCUUGUUAUACAGAAAUCAGCGUCGAAAGCGAUCCUCAAAUUCUAAUAUGCAACUUUUACGUCUCGCUUUAUUGUCGAAUCAAAAAUUCGAAAGAAUCGCUCUGGCGCUACAUUGUUUGCGUCGUCGUGGCCGAUCGCUCAUGAGUAACGUAUGCAAAUCGAUCGAUCAUCGUUGUCGAGAAGAGCAGUCUCGCGCACGCCGCGCGUUUAUGCAUCGAGCAAAUUAAUUGGUCUACACCCCCUUCCGUCUCCCCCUCUCCCUCUCCCCUCCCUCGACCGCUAUCACUCGCAUUUACAUAAGCGCGCGCCGCUCGAGUUCGCGUUUCCUGCGUCAAUUUCGUUAUUACUUGAGUGGCCGGCACGGCUCGUCCAACCCCCACAAUUUCACACCAACCUUCGAGAGCCGCCCUAUCGAAAAGACCGGGCCGGUUCAGACGAGGCGUUAGUAAUGUGUGCGAGCGCGAUGAAAUGCAAACAGGCGCAAUAUUAUUCAUUGUUCGCCGGCUUUACACGUACCGGGCUUUGCCGGGCGCUCGGCAGGCCCGGAAUGACGCCAGGGACGGAUUCUAUUUGCUUUACGACUGAAAAACGUCCACGUCGUAAUUAAUCAAAUGCAUUUGCCCGGCGCGUGUCUGCUUCUUUUUUUUCUUCACGUAUGUCUCGCGCGAAAUAUCCGCGUUCCGCUGCCCGCUUGUGCAAACACGAAGUUCUGGAACACUCGCACUCCCUUUCAGUCGAUGCUACUGUAUUUACAGCAUUUACGAAAGUAUAUUGUGUACGGUUUCACAAUAUUCCUCGCUAGUUGUAUUGACGUUUGCUCUCGCGUGUCAUAUGCGCAACGAAAUAUCGCAAGUGUACGCAAGAAGUAUUAAAAUAUCAAUUCUUUGCGGUUUUUUUAUUUUAGCCUGUCCAAACAUUUAUUUAUAGAUAUCAUGUAUACUAUAUUAUUUUCUCUACAAUAUAUUUUUAUUUUUCAACGCAUUUCUGUGAAGUUUAAGUUUGCUAAAAGUUUUACCGAAGCAAAACAAAAAGAUUAUAUGAACAAGUUUGUAUGAUUGUAAAAUUAUAUUAAGAAUAAUUAAAAUACAAUAAUUGAAAUUGUAAAACACACAUUAAUGAAACAUAAAUUAUUAUUAUUUCACAAAAGCAUCAAUAAUAGUUAAUAUAAACAAAUAGUAAUACUAAAAGGUUUAUGAAUUGAAACAUGCAGAAACUUUGCGAUCUCUCGCUCGAGAUUCUAUUAAAUUAUUUGCAAACUCUGUCGUAUAAUUGCAGAAUAACUUACCGCAGUCCUAUAAUAAACUUGCGUAUUACCGCGAUCGAAAUGACGAUGAUCCAUGUUUGGUUUUACUAUUCUAUAAAUAGAUAAAAUUUAUCAAAAUGUAACUCAUUCCUUCGCAUUGCUUUUCGUUUGUUUUACCUUACAAUAAUGCAUGAUAGCGAAGCAUCGAUUCCUAGAAGCACUAAAAUAUUAAAAACAGCGCGCCGAUCGAAUACCAUCGAUACUCAAGGAUCCAUUACAUAAUUCCAAAGAGCAACAAUUGGACCGUGUGCUGUAAUUAUGUAACCGUCCGUCGUAGUCGAAUGUGUAACGAGUCCAAGUUCGCGUGUCACCGCGUCCGAAGUGAUUAUUAUUCUAUGAUUUCAUUCAUUAUACAGUAAAUUAUUGCCUUUAUGUUCCGGGGGAAUGUGCGACCGCGCAUAAGUGCAAUAAAUAAUUAGCCAGCGAAUUUGUUGAAAAUUCACGGUCUAUCUAACUUUGUUAUGGCUUUUGGCGCAUGCGAAUGGCGAGUAGAAACAUAAUAUUAAAAAGGUGCAACUGAGUUAUCUAUAUUCUUUGUGUCUUCCUUAAUGCAUAAAAUUGCAUUUUUAAUGGGUACACUAAUACGUGUAUCACAUCAUGCACGCGCGCAAAUUGUGAAAAUUAUCACCACGACUCACUACGAGGAAUAUGAUUUUUUGCUAAUUUACAUCUUACGAUUAUCUUAUUUUUAUUUUUUAAUAUAUUUAAUAUAUUAAAAUUAUUAAUUAUAAAAAAAUAAAUAUUUUAUAUAUUAUUAUAUAGAUCUUUUUUUCGGAAAAAAAUUUUAUAAUAGAAAAAUAAUGAAAUUGAUAAGCGAUUCAAUCAUGACAGUUUUAAAGUUAGAAAGUUGUUAUUUAAACUGAUACUUAAUAAAUUUGUUUUGUCUUUUUGUUAAUUAUUUCAUUAGCGAUUCUUUGUUUCUCUCUGGAUUAUAGCUUCCAUUGCAAUACGGAAAGAAAAUUCUAUUCGCUAGUAGCGCUAAGCGGAGUUGGCACAACCCAAUGUUAAUGGAUUGAAUUUUUCUUUUUCUAGUAAAACCGUAUCGCGUCUGCAAAACUUUUCCUCGAGCCAAUUUUACGUUCGCCCUUUGGCGACGUAGGUUCCUUUGUAACAAGUUGGCUCGCGACAAGCGCGACGGUGGACAGGAAAAUAGUCGACUGGGCGAAAAAAACACGAGAGCGAGAAAAGUGGUGAAGGAGGGAAGGUAUUCGCUACCUAAAGCUGCAAUUCUAAAUUAGCUCGGCUAACGCAGCUUGUUGUAUGGAACUCUCGAUAAACUUUCGUGUAAAAAAUGGAUUUUUCAUCACUGUAUGCGAUAUCCUGUCAUACUUCAUACUGGUGCAUUUGUGUCUUAUUCUUCUUAAUCUUUGAAUUAGUCUCAUCUGUAGUUUUCUUUUAUUACCAUAACGACGGCUUUGCCGAAAUAUUAUAAAAACGCAGUGUAUGUGUUCAAUAUCUUAAUACGAUUCGUGUAUUUUAAUAUUUUUCUGUUUUUUAUCAAAUUUAUAAAUAUUCACUACGAAACAUGAUGAUUUGGUAGAACGUAAAAACCAAUGUAGACAAAGAAUCAACUGAAUUUUGAACCAAUAAAAAAAUUGUGCUUAAAAUUUACGCAAAUACUCGAACGUGAUAAUAGAAUGAUCUAUGAAAUUUUUAUAUUUUUGAUACUGUUUUAAAAUGUGACGCAUACAUUUUUAAAAACGGAGACAAAUGGAAUUAUCUUAAUAAAAUGCAAAAACUUUCUAAGAGAUUCCAUUCAAAUGUAAAUUGUUUGAGUUAAUAGAUAAAUAUUAAUAAUAUAUAACUUUCAAGUACGAAAAAAAAAUGUGUCAAGUUAUACAUCAAUAAUAUCUUCUUCUUUGGAGCCCAAUAGAAUUCCGUCCCUCCAGGGACGAGUACCACUUUUUAUUAUACUUGCAAGUCUGUCCAAUGAGAGCAUCAUUAAUUUGUUUAACUUUUUAAGAUAUUUACACUGAUCAGUUUGAUCUUUUUUAUAAGUAAUUAAUAUGGUACCGGAGCAUAAUUUUUAUGAAGAGUUUGUUUAUAUCAUAUUGUAUCAUUUUAUUUAUAAAUAAUUUAAUUAAAGAAACCAAAUUUAAAAAGAGCAUAUGUCUACUCCAAACAUGACGUCUCAUUUUACGUAAUGAAACGCCUUAUCCUUAUUCCGCUUUCGAGCACUGUUGAGAACUUUCCCGAAGAAGAAGUUAAGAAGUCAAGUGCGCCACGUAAUAUCUAAAAACUGAAGCGAUGCAAGAAGGAUGUCGUACUACGUACGUCGAGACCCAGUUUGCCCAUGAAGCGAAGAGAGCUGUACGUCAGUUAAAAACAAAAAAAAGAAGGAAAAAAGACUGUAUACUUUGGUCGUCCGCUUCCGCCCUCUUGCUCUUUAACCCUCGAAGUUCAUUCUCGCGCCAUUGCAUGUUGAAGUACCGAACUGCGGAAAUUACUCCUAACUAUAAGGAAGCACAAGUUAUGAGAGAUAGAUGGUGUCAAUAUGUUUUAGCUAUUCCACGUGAGAAAAUUAAUUAUCUUUUAAAUAUCUCUCAGUUACUUAUUAUGCAAGUACUAAUUAAUCUCUUUCCGCGUAUUUUUCUUGCAGAAACGAUUUUAUGUAAAUAACUCUCAUUUUCGAUUGAAUAAUCUGUAUUAUUUCAAAUAAAGUACGUCUUGUGUAAUGUAUACGCGGUGGAAAAAUUUACAUGUACCUUUUAUGCAGAUUAUAGUACAUUGUUGCCCUUUGCCUCUUUCAUAGCUCGUGAAUUAAAUUCCUCUGUUCUUUCUUCUUUACUUUAUUUGAAUUUUCACAUUUUUCCAUGCUUCUUUCAGACGUGGAACGUAGACGUGCUUGUUUCCAACAUAAUUUGAAGUCAAUACAUAAUUAUUUAUAUAAUUUAUAAUUUUUAUAAUGACAAAAUUUCUAUUUUUUGUUUUAAAACAUUAUAAGCUUAUGUAUGAAUGAUUAUAAUAAAAAGAUGAUAAAAGGAAAAUUAUAAUUUUAGGGAUGGUUACAUUGUGACAAAGACCUUCUGGUCUGUCAUCAAAAAUGCUUUUUGAUAGACGCGGAAUAAAGUAUCGAAGAAAUAUAUGCCUACAGUGUCAAAGCCGAAGUGUAUAUUCGGAAUGAAAUAUGACGCAGACGGUCGACAGUACCAGUGGAGAGAGAUUAUGUGUCCGUAGAAAAACUGACUCUCCUCCACCGGUAAAUAAGAUCCUCCGCGUUCUGCCACUUGCUCUUCAGUCCUUGAAUCCAAUCCCCGGACCCCUCCUCUCGCGCUUCCAUCUCCUUCAAGGAACGAACUAGAGAGACGUUGCUUACUUCGCGAAGGUGGAAAGCGCUUUUUUGUGCCUCUUAAGCUCAGGCUACACUUUUCUCGCCUCGAUGCUUCGAACGGAAUAUCAGUUUACGCGCGGAACCUUCUCAACGCUUCUUCCAGCUUUCACCUUUGUAGUAGAAUAUGGCCGCCCACUCGUGCCGAUCUUUUAAAGAUUCUUCUACCAUGUUCGUGCAACGCGCGGGCAUAUCCGAUAUCGCUGCCAAUAAAAACUGCGAGUGUUUCCGUUCUACUUUUGCGCGCCCGUCGCUGAACUACGCGCGAGAGGGGAGAUACAAUAGUUCCAUACUAUAAAAGUAUCUUGCUUUCAAUGCAUAAGUUCUUUCUAAAUCCUUAAAAUAACGACGCUGAAUAUCUUUCUCUCUUUCAGAUUUAAAUGAUUUGUUUUAAUAUUUGCUAUUUCGAUUAAAUUUAGGCGGCAUAUGCUCGUUCAAUAAUGUUUUUAAUAUUACGAAAAAGUAAUGUUAUGAAGACAUUUUUAUGGAAUUUAUUGAUCGAUAAAUCGCGUUCUAUGGAGAAAAAAAUUUUAUAUUAAUUUGAUGAAAUAUAAAAAUGUAUUUUUUAGAGCAUUUAAAAUAUGCAUUGUAAUUUAUGUUAUAAUAUUGCAAAUAUUGUUUUGGAUUUUUUUACUAUUUUUUAUUGUUCCAGAUUCAUUUCUGUGCAUCUGCAUGUAAUACUCUUAAUGAGAAUGAAAGAAGAUAUUUCUCAUUAUAAAUUUUAUACCGAAAUUCUGAACCGAUUUUGGAUUAUCAAAAAUUGCGUUUAAAAAUAUAAUAAAUUCUUAAUUAAUUUAAAAAUAUUCUUAAAAUCUUAUACACAAUAAUAGCAUUAAAUCUAAUUCAUAAUUUUUAUAAAAUCUUUGUAUAAAAAAUUUUUUCUAUAACGAUUAUUUUUUAAAAUAAAUUUCAUUUAGGAAUAAUAAUUUAUUAGAAAUAAUAGUUUCUCAAUCUUAAAUUGAUAAGAAAAUAUGUUAUGGAUAAUAUUAUGUUACACAUAUCGCAUACAAAAAAAUAGAAAAUUUUUAAUCUAAAAAUAUUUAUUAAAACUUUUAAUAUCUUAUAUGUAAUAUAGCAUUAAAUACAGAUUUAUAAUUUUCGUAUAAAAAUGUAUGUGAAUAUAAAAACUCUUUUACAAUGAUCACAAACUUAAAAUAAAUUCUUGAAUAUAAAUUUAUUAUAUUUACAAGAAAACAAAUUAUAUUAUAUAUGACGAAAUAAGUAAGAAUAAUGUAAUAGCGUUUGCCAACUUGAUAAUUAAAAAUCAAAUUCUAUGGUAUAAAAUUGUAACGUUUAAUUUUCCGCGAUAUUCUCUUAAAAGAAACGCAAAGGACACCUUGUAUAAGAUUGGAAAGAUAUUUACAAUGAAUUUCUGCCUAAGAAUUGCCUGCCACUCGGCGGAACAUUUUCGUUUAUGUUUACGUAUACAAUCUCUACCUAGCACUAGAUAACAAUAUCGCGCCACGACCUUAGUUCGCGGACACAUCCAAACUAGUCUACAGUCGAACUCGUGCUGCGGGCCGGUACGCAGGCUUUUCAAACGGUGUGUACCUCGAUCUUUGUUACGUCUGUCCUUCGGAAAGUUUCAUCGAUUUCUAAACCAUUGUUCGAUAAGUCUUCCCUUUUGAAAUUCGGAUAAUUUCAAGUGUUUGUGCACGUUAAACGAUUCAGAUCGUAUCAGUAUCAUUGGAUUCUUUGCACACGUUGUGUAAUUUGAGAAGGAACGAUCAAUGUUCGAGCCCUACGUACAGACGUUGAGCGCACCAUUGAAUGCGACAGACUCGGAAACUAUGCUCGAUUAUAAGUUGUUCGUUAGUGGGACAAUGCAGUUGGAUCAGAAUAACAACAAUAGCAAUGUGCCGCAACAGUCAGAUUGGUAAGCGAGCAACUCAUAUUUUUACAUCUGUUGAUGAAAACAAUAACAUGCUGUAUACAAUUGAUGCAUUGAUGCUUUAAUAUUAUACGCUUUAAUAUUUGUUUUAUUUGACUAAUUUAAUUUGAAUUUUAAUUAAUAUUAGUUGCAAUCUUGUAAGAAACAAAGUUAAAAAAUGUGCUUAUGAUUGUACAUCAGAUUUAUUUAAUUCUACAAUUUUACAAAAAAUAACAAAAGUAGCAAUAUCGUGAAAUAUAUCAGUACAUGUAAAACUUAUUGUUUCGUUAUUCCACGCGUAUUGAUUUUUAUUUUAUGAUUGGAUCAUGCGAUACGCAAUAGUAACAUAAGACAUAUUGAACACAAAUUGACCAAAAA